AUUCCUCCCCCUUUCUGCCUUUGUGUGGGCAUGGAAGGCGGGGACUUGGGGGACUUCUUGCGGGUCUUUUGGGAUCCGCUCCCCUUGAAUGCAUUAGCAAAGCCCAUGUGCGGGUCUUGGUGUGAUAAUUAUCUACGCUGAACCCAACCAAAAAGGAUUUGCUUCGAACCGUCGAGAGACAGCUUUCAUUGA
rnacentral:misc_RNA from 1 species